GCCUAACGAAUUUCAGAACAUUGCUUCUUCUAAUUCAUUGAAACCCAUUCACUCAUUGAUUUACUUUUGUUAGCAUUCACCCAAAUGAAACACAUCAACUAUUCCGUUUAAUACUCUGGCUUGUAAUGGAUAUCUACUCUACUUGUCUUUUUACAUAAACAUAAAGAAAAGCUGAUAAUGGGACAAUAAUAGAUCGGGGAUAAGUCGAAUGACUCAAAUACACGAAUUAGGAUGAGGACGCAUGUGCACGUUAGCAUUUUCCUUGAUAAGAUUCAUCUUCCAUACAAUGCAUCUGCUACAUAAUGAGCCGUAAUCUGUACAUGUUCGGUAUACAUCGAUCCGGUUCAGCUUGGUUUCCAUUGGGGAUCUUUUUUAGUCUACAACUUUACCCUUUGUUUGGCCACAGAUACAGGAAGACUAUUUGUUCUAAUAUAUGAUAUAUUUAUUUAUAGAAGACAUAACAUUUAGAUAAUAGGGGAUGUUAAGAGUGUAUGUGUACCUCAACAGAAAAAUUGUAAACUCACAAGCAUGAUCACUGCCACAAUUUGCAUAUGGGAGAAGGACCAUUCUCUUAUUUGUAAUGUCGUUGCUUAACAUGCGAGCUUAUACAUAUGCUUUCAAUUAUUGAACGAGAGAGAUGAUGCAAGACGUCAACAAUAUGAGCCAUCUGUGUUAG
rnacentral:lncRNA from 1 species